rnacentral:rRNA from 1 species
UGGGGAAUAUUGCACAAUGGGCGCAAGCCUGAUGCAGCCAUGCCGCGUGUGUGAAGAAGGCCUUCGGGUUGUAAAGCACUUUCAGCGAGGAGGAAGGUGGUGAGCUUAAUACGCUCAUCAAUUGACGUUACUCGCAGAAGAAGUACCGGCUAACUCCGUG